UCUGUUUGGGCCCUAUAUUUUGGAGAGCUGAUCAGGCCUUUCCCCUCUUUUUAUAGAGCAAUUAUGACUAUUGUACAACAGAGGAAAAUAGCCAUUUUAGGCCUAUUAAUAAAUGAGAAGCAUUAUUGGCCCCAGUAACAGCCCCAGUUUUUAAAAGAGCCAAAAGAGCCCGUUGGAGCCAUUUUGGCUUCUACGGUUCAUUCACGUUCUGGUCAUUCACGUUCUGGCAUCAGGAUAAAUUAGCUCUUAGAAGCAUUAUUGGCACCACACUAGAGACAUUUUAAAAGCCAAAACAGCUCUUGGAGCCUUUUUAGCCCCUCUCUGUUUUUACGAAUAUGACCAUGAAGAGAGUUGUAUAAAAAAAUUGUAAAUAUGGAUGUAAACAUCGAUAUUUAUAAUCCUUGGCGUUUUUAGAUGGCAUUUACACGGUCACUUCCAUAUGGUACCGACAUGAAGUCCAACAUAUUAAUUUCCACCGAGAAGGAUGCGGGUAGUGUUAUGGGUCUGGAUUGAGGAUGGCCACAUCAGUUUGUUCCAGUAGAAGAGAUAUGCAAACUCUGUUCGUCUUUUUUGUCCGAGCCAAUGUUUCAUCCAGGUCAAAGAGGAAAAUCACACCUGCAUGUUAACAGAAAUGAAUCCAUUAAAAGAGAUCGAAAUUAAAGUGAAGUUUUGCAAAGAAAUAACAAGUGCAGAGCCAUGCAUCAAUCAAUCCCCACAGAAAUUGAUAACAUAUACCAAAGAAAACGAGCAACAUGGCAGCAUGAUUUCGUUAGAGGAAAAGGCGGUUUACACCAGAAAUGGAAAUGCAUUCAAGAUCAAGAUUGAAGAAUUGCCGCCAAUAAUGCCUGAUGCCAUGCGAAAUGAGAGCGCUAUGAACUCCGAACACGAGAAACAGAGUGCCAUUUUAAAAUCUUUGGAGUAUGACGGUGAUCCAGCAAAUUACACCAACUCAUAAAGGAAAAACAACUGGAUAUAGAGAAUCUUAAAGAAAUGUCUUUUGAAGCGAUAAAAGAUAUAUGCGAACAAUGUUCCAUUUCCACUCAGAGAAAAUCAAAGUGUACUGUCGCAUCAAUGUUUCUUUGCUUGACUGAGUCAGUACGAGAUGCUGUAGACUUGUAUUUGUCAAUGAAAUACCACCCGAUACUCUUUAUCAACGACACACCAUGUGGGUUAGCACGCGGCAUAUAGAAUGUAGAUUUCCAGAUAUCUGCACAGACUUAUGAGGAAACAUAGGUGGUUGUUUUGAAACACCAACAACUGAAAGGGAUCCGAUUCAGAACCACAACAUUCCAGCAAUCGUGCCGCCUGAAUACAAAAUGGACGGUACUGUAUACAUCGAGGCCGAAGAUAGUGCAUAUGUCGACCCUGCUACUGGUUCAACUGACCG